rnacentral:misc_RNA from 1 species
AACGCACAUUGCGCCCCCUGGUAUUCCGGGGGGCAUGCCUGUCCGAGCGUCAUUUCUGCCCUCAAGCACUGCUUGUGUGUUGGGCCCCGUCCUCCGAUCCCGGGGGACGGGCCCGAAAGGCAGCGGCGGCACCGCGUCCGGUCCUCGUGCGUAUGCGGCGUUGUCACCCGCUCUGUAGUCACGGCCGGCGCUUGCCGAUCAACCCAAAUGUUUAUCCAGGUUUACCUCGGAUCAGGUAGGGAUACCCGCUGAACUUA